UCUGGCGGCAGUAGCGCGGUGGUCCCACCUGACCCCAUGCCGAACUCAGAAGUGAAACGCCGUAGCGCCGAUGGUAGUGUG
rnacentral:rRNA from 2 species